UAACCUGCCCAAGAGAUCGGGAUAACACCUGGAAACAGAUGCUAAUACCGGAUAACAACAGAUGAUGCCUAUCAACUGUUUAAAAGAUGGUUCUGCUAUCACUCUUGGAUGGACCUGCGGUGCAUUAGCUAGUUGGUAGGGUAACGGCCUACCAAAGGCGAUGAUGCAUAGCCGAGUUGAGAGACUGAUCGGCCACAUUGGGACUGAGACACGGCCCAAACUCCUACGGGAGGCAGCAGAU
rnacentral:rRNA from 1 species